GAGUAAUACGUAGGAACUUGCCUUGCAGAGGGGGAUAACCUGGGGAAACCCAGGCUAAUACCGCAUACGGCCUAAGGGUUAAAGCUGGGGCAACCUGGCGCUGCGAGAUAGGCCUACGUCAGAUUAGCUAGUUGGUGGGGUAAAGGCCUACCAAGGCAAAGAUCUGUAGCUGGUCUGAGAGGAUGAUCAGCCACACUGGGACUGAGACACGGCCCAGACUCC
rnacentral:rRNA from 1 species